rnacentral:rRNA from 1 species
GAUGAACGCUGGCGGCGUGCCUAAUACAUGCAAGUCGAGCGAACAGACGAGGAGCUUGCUCCUCUGACGUUAGCGGCGGACGGGUGAGUAACACGUGGAUAACCUACCUAUAAGACUGGGAUAACUUCGGGAAACCGGAGCUAAUACCGGAUAAUAUAUUGAACCGCAUGGUUCAAUAGUGAAAGACGGUUUUGAUGUCACUUAUAGAUGGAUCCGCGCCGCAUUAGCUAGUGGGUAAGGUAACGGCUUACCAAGGCGACGAUGCGUAGCCGACCUGAGAGGGUGAUCGGCCACACUGGAACUGAGACACGGUCCAGACUCCUACGGGAGGCAGCAGUAGGGAAUCUUCCGCAAUGGGCGAAAGCCUGACGGAGCAACGCCGCGUGAGUGAUGAAGGUCUUCGGAUCGUAAAACUCUGUUAUUAGGGAAGAACAAAUGUGUAAGUAACUAUGCACGUCUUGACGGUACCUAAUCAGAAAGCCACGGCUAACUACGUG